AGUGAACGCUGGCGGUAGGCCUAACACAUGCAAGUCGAACGGCAGCACAGUAAGAGCUUGCUCUUACGGGUGGCGAGUGGCGGACGGGUGAGGAAUACAUCGGAAUCUACUUUUUCGUGGGGGAUAACGUAGGGAAGCUUACGCUAAUACCGCAUACGACCUACGGGUGAAAGCAGGGGAUCUUCGGACCUUGCGCGAUUGAAUGAGCCGAUGUCGGAUUAGCUAGUUGGCGGGGUAAAGGCCCACCAAGGCGACGAUCCGUAGCUGGUCUGAGAGGAUGAUCAGCCACACUGGAACUGAGACACGGUCCAGACUCCUACGGGAGGCAGCAGUGGGGAAUAUUGGACAAUGGGCGCAAGCCUGAUCCAGCCAUACCGCGUGGGUGAAGUAGGCCUUCGGGUUGUAAAGCCCUUUUGUUGGGAAAGAAAAGCAGCAGGUUAAUACCCCGCUGUUCUGACGGUACCCAAAGAAUAAGCACCGGCUAACUUCGUG
rnacentral:rRNA from 1 species